GUACAGAGAAGCUCUACUCAUGCUGGUGGAUUUGAACUGAUUUAAAAUGAGGAUGCUGCCAAAAUACAAGAGCGAGCAGGGAGGACUGGCCUUGUCUUGCCUAUACCACCAAGAGAGCUUCAAGAACGGCAGAGAUUGUGUAAAAUACGAAGUGGAAAAGGGUACCAAGUGAAAAAGACAGUCCUAAGUCCCAAAAUUGCACGCAUUGAGUGGCUUAAGAAGCACCUGGUAAUUGAUGACUACAGACCAACUUGCAGAAAUGCACAUCAUUAUCAGAUAUAGACACUUUGGUAAAUAAAAUUCCUAAAUUCAA